UACGUAGGGGGCUAGCGUUGUCCGGAAUCAUUGGGCGUAAAGAGCGUGUAGGCGGCCCGAUAAGUCCGCUGUGAAAGUCGAGGGCUCAACCCUCGAAUGCCGGCGGAUACUGUCGGGCUAGAGUCCGGAAGAGGCGAGUGGAAUUCCUGGUGUAGCGGUGAAAUGCGCAGAUAUCAGGAGGAACACCAACGGCGAAGGCAGCUCGCUGGGACGGUACUGACGCUGAGACGCGAAAGCGUGGGGAGCAAACAGG
rnacentral:rRNA from 1 species